AAAACCUAAAACAACGAAAGCCCUGCCUCUCUUCCAUCCUUGCGGCUCCGAUGACCGCGCCAGUGUGAAUCGGGCAUUCAAAAAACAA
rfam:Brevibacillus choshinensis strain DSM 8552 super29, whole genome shotgun sequence.